rnacentral:rRNA from 1 species
UACGUAGGGUGCGAGCGUUGUCCGGAAUUAUUGGGCGUAAAGGGCUCGUAGGCGGUCUGUCGCGUCGGGAGUGAAAACCAGGUGCUUAACACCUGGCUUGCUUUCGAUACGGGCAGACUAGAGGUAUUCAGGGGAGAACGGAAUUCCUGGUGUAGCGGUGAAAUGCGCAGAUAUCAGGAGGAACACCGGUGGCGAAGGCGGGUCUCUGGGCCGAUACUGACGCUGAGGAGCGAAAGCGUGGGGAGCGAACAGG